rnacentral:miRNA from 1 species
GCCCCGGCUGCUCUGCUUCCUGUUUGGCUCCCUGCUGAUACUCCUGGAAGAGCCGCAGAAGGGGAUGACCAAGUGCU